CAGUUAAAAAGCUCGUAGUUGGAUUUCUGUGCACCGGUUGUUGGUCCGCCUCUAUGAGGUGGGUCCUUCACCGUUGUACAUCCUGUUGGCAGACACGUGCUGGCAUUCAUUUGUCGGUGCGGGGAGACCACUCGUUUACUUUGAGAAAAUUAAAGUGUUCAAAGCAGGCGCUCGCUUGAAUACAUUAGCAUGGAAUAAUAGUAUAGGACUUUGAUCUUAUUUGUUGGUUUUAAAGAUCAAAGUAAUGAUUGAUAGGGACAGUUGGGGGCAUCAGUAUUCUGAAGCGAGAGGUGAAAUUCUUGGACCUUCGGAAGACUAACAACUGCGAAAGCAUUUGCCAAGGAUGUUCUCUUUAAUCAAGAACGAAAGUUAGGGGAUCGAAGACGGUCAGAUACCGUCGUAGUCUUAACUAUAAACUAUGCCAGCUAGGGAUCGGUGAACGUUGUUUCGACUUCAUCAGCACCUUAUGAGAAAUCAAAGCAUUUGGGUUCCGGGGGGAGUAUGGUCGCAA
rnacentral:rRNA from 1 species